rnacentral:rRNA from 1 species
GUUCUCUCCGAAAUAUAUUUAGGUAUAGCGUUGUGUCGUAAUAUAAGGGGGUAGAGCACUGAAUGGGCUAGGGCAUACACCAAUGUACCAAACCCUAUCAAACUCCGAAUACCUUAUAUGUAAUCACAGCAGUCAGGCGGCGAGUGAUAAAAUCCGUCGUCAAGAGGGAAACAACCCAGACUACCAGCUAAGGUCCCUAAAUCUUACUUAAGUGGAAAACGAUGUGAAGUUACUUAAACAACCAGGAGGUUGGCUUAGAAGCAGCCAUCCUUUAAAGAAAGCGUAAUAGCUCACUGGUCUAGUGAUUUUGCGCGGAAAAUAUAACGGGGCUAAAGUAAGUACCGAAGCUGUAGACUUGCGCACAACUUAGAUUAUUUAAGUUUAGAAUAUGAGAAACUAAGUUAUGUUUAGUUAUAUUUUUACUGAUUUUUAUAGAGUAAAGAUAGAAAUAAAACUUAGUAAAAUCAGUAAAAAUAUUCUUAGGCUAAAGUUAAGUAGUUUAAGUUGUGUGCAAGUGGUAGGAGAGCGUUCUAUUUGCGUCGAAGGUAUACCGGUAAGGAGUGCUGGAGCGAAUAGAAGUGAGCAUGCAGGCAUGAGUAGCGAUAAUUAAUGUGAGAAUCAUUAACGCCGUAAACCCAAGGUUUCCUACGCGAUGCUCGUCAUCGUAGGGUUAGUCGGGUCCUAAGUCGAGUCCGAAAGGGGUAGACGAUGGCAAAUUGGUUAAUAUUCCAAUACCAACAUUAGUGUGCGAUGGAAGGACGCUUAGGGCUAAGGGGGCUAGCGGAUGGAAGUGCUAGUCUAAGGUCGUAGGAGGUUAUACAGGCAAAUCCGUAUAACAAUACUCCGAGAACUGAAAGGCUUUUUGAAGUCUUCGGAUGGAUAGAAGAACCCCUGAUGCCGUCGAGCCAAGAAAAGUUUCUAAGUUUAGCUAAUGUUGCCCGUACCGUAAACCGACACAGGUGGGUGGGAUGAGUAUUCUAAGGCGCGUGGAAGAACUCUCUUUAAGGAACUCUGCAAAAUAGCACCGUAUCUUCGGUAUAAGGUGUGGUUAGCUUCGUACUAGGAUUUACUCCGAAAGCGAAGAAACUUACAACAAAGAGUCCCUCCCGACUGUUUACCAAAAACACAGCACUCUGCUAACUCGUAAGAGGAUGUAUAGGGUGUGACGCCUGCCCGGUGCUCGAAGGUUAAUUGAUGGGGUUAGCAUUAGCGAAGCUCUUGAUCGAAGCCCGAGUAAACGGCGGCCGUAACUAUAACGGUCCUAAGGUAGCGAAAUUCCUUGUCGGUUAAAUACCGACCUGCAUGAAUGGCGUAACGAGAUGGGAGCUGUCUCAAAGAGGGAUCCAGUGAAAUUGUAGUGGAGGUGAAAAUUCCUCCUACCCGCGGCAAGACGGAAAGACCCCGUGGACCUUUACUACAGCUUGACACUGCUACUUGGAUAAGAAUGUGCAGGAUAGGUGGGAGGCUUUGAGUAUAUGACGCCAGUUGUAUAUGAGCCAUUGUUGAGAUACCACUCUUUCUUAUUUGGGUAGCUAACCGGCUUGAGUUAUCCUCAAGUGGGACAAUGUCUGGUGGGUAGUUUGACUGGGGCGGUCGCCUCCCAAAUAAUAACGGAGGCUUACAAAGGUUGGCUCAGAACGGUUGGAAAUCGUUCGUAGAGUAUAAAGGUAUAAGCCAGCUUAACUGCAAGACAUACAAGUCAAGCAGAGACGAAAGUCGGUCUUAGUGAUCCGGUGGUUCUGUGUGGAAGGGCCAUCGCUCAAAGGAUAAAAGGUACCCCGGGGAUAACAGGCUGAUCUCCCCCAAGAGCUCACAUCGACGGGGAGGUUUGGCACCUCGAUGUCGGCUCAUCGCAUCCUGGGGCUGGAGCAGGUCCCAAGGGUAUGGCUGUUCGCCAUUUAAAGCGGUACGCGAGCUGGGUUCAGAACGUCGUGAGACAGUUCGGUCCCUAUCUGCCGUGGGCGUAAGAAGAUUGAAGAGAUUUGACCCUAGUACGAGAGGACCGGGUUGAACAAACCACUGGUGUAGCUGUUGUUCUGCCAAGAGCAUCGCAGCGUAGCUAAGUUUGGAAAGGAUAAACGCUGAAAGCAUCUAAGCGUGAAGCCAACUCUAAGAUGAAUCUUCUCUAAGCUCUCUAGAAGACUACUAGUUUGAUAGGCUGGGUGUGUAAUGGAUGAAAGUCCUUUAGCUGACCAGUACUAAUAGAGCGUUUGGCUUAUCUUU